AAACAGACGUGUCUCUAUUUUUACACCUGGUUGGGAGAUAUCUGUCGGAGUAAAAACUACUGAUCUAAGCCAACUGAUUCUCAAAGAGUGGAAAAAGAAGAAGCAUGAGCAGUGGCGCAUGAAAAAGGCUGUAGAAGAAUUAAAACCUUCAACAACUCCUCAAAUCAUACGUAUUUGGAAUAAAGUCCAACAAAUUAGG